GGUGAACGCUGGCGGCGUGGAUAAGGCAUGCAAGUCAAACGGAACUAGCUUGCGAUUACAUCAAGAGUUAGUUUAGUGGCGAACGAGUUAGUAACACCUUGGUACAUACCCCACAGACAGGGAUAACCAGCCGAAAGGUUGGCUAAUACCUGAUGGUCUCGUGAGAGUAAAGCAGCAAUGUGCUGUGGGAGUGGCCUAGGUCCUAUCAGCUAGUUGGUAGUGUAAUGGACUACCAAGGCUAUGACGGGUAGGGGAGAUGAGAGUUUGAUCCCCAACGAUGGAACUGAGAUACGGUCCUUACACCUACGGGUGGCUGCAGUCGAGAAUCUUCGACAAUGGGCGAAAGCCUGAUCGAGCGACGCCGCGUGGAGGAUGAAGCCCUUCGGGGUGUAAACUUCUUUUGUCAAGGGAGGAACUUUUGUGACUGUACCUUGCGAAUAAGGGGGUCCUAAUUCUGUGCCAGCAGGAGCGGUAAGACAGAACCCCCAAGCGUUACCCGGAAUUAUUGGGCGUAAA
rnacentral:rRNA from 1 species